rnacentral:rRNA from 1 species
UACGUAGGCAGCAAGCGUUGUUCGGAAUUACUGGGCGUAAAGAGUGUGUAGGCGGUGCUCUAAGUUCGUUGUGAAAUCUCCCGGCUUAACUGGGAGGGUGCGGCGGAAACUGGAGUGCUUGAGCGCGGGAGAGGAAAGCGGAAUUCCUGGUGUAGCGGUGAAAUGCGUAGAUAUCAGGAGGAACACCGGUGGUGUAGACGGCUCUCUGGACCGUAACUGACGCUGAGACACGAAAGCGUGGGUAGCAAACAGG